UACGUAGGGUGCGAGCGUUGUCCGGAAUUAUUGGGCGUAAAGAGCUUGUAGGCGGUUUGUCGCGUCUGCUGUGAAAAUCCGGGGCUCAACCCGGACUUGCAGUGGGUACGGGCAGACUAGAGUGUGGUAGGGGAGACUGGAAUUCCUGGUGUAGCGGUGAAAUGCGCAGAUAUCAGGAGGAACACCGAUGGCGAAGGCAGGUCUCUGGGCCGCUACUGACGCUGAGAAGCGAAAGCAUGGGGAGCGAACAGG
rnacentral:rRNA from 1 species